rnacentral:rRNA from 1 species
AAUUGUGGACAAUGCGCGCAAGCCCGAUCCAGCCAUGCCGCGUGAGUGAAGAAGGCCUUCCUGUUGUAACGCUCUUUCGGAUGGGAAGAAAUCGCGCCCGCUAAUAUCCUGCCUUGAUUACGGUACCGUCGUAAGAAGAGCCGGCUAAGUAAGUGCCAGCAGCCGCGGUGAUACGUAGGGUGCGAGAGUUAAUUGGAAUUACUGGGCGUAAAGCGUGCGCAGGCGGUUGAUUAAGACAGGCGUGAAAUCACCGGGCUUAACCUGGGAACUGCGCUUGUGACUGGUCAGCUAGAGUACGGCAGAGGGGGGUGGAAUUCCACGUGUAGCAGUGAAAUGCGUAGAGAUGUGGAGGAACACAGAUGGCGAAGGCAGCCCCCUGGGCCGAUACUGACGCUCAUGCACGAAAGCGUGGGUAGCAAACAGG